GGGGAAUUUUGGACAAUGGGCGCAAGCCUGAUCCAGCAAUGCCGCGUGCAGGAUGAAGGCCUUCGGGUUGUAAACUGCUUUUGUACGGAACGAAAAGCCUCUCUCUAAUACAGGGGGGUGAUGACGGUAAUCUGUGAGGAAGCCCCGGCUAACUACGUGCCAGCAGCCGCGGUAAUACGUAGGGUGCGAGCGUUAAUCGGAAUUACUGGGCGUAAAGCGUGCGCAGGCGGUUUUGUAAGACAGAGGUGAAAUCCCCGGGCUCAACCUGGGAACUGCCUUUGUGACUGCAAAGCUGGAGUGCGGCAGAGGGGGAUGGAAUUCCGCGUGUAGCAGUGAAAUGCGUAGAUAUGCGGAGGAACACCGAUGGCGAAGGCAAUCCCCUGGGCCUGCACUGACGCUCAUGCACGAAAGCGUGGGGAGCAAACA
rnacentral:rRNA from 1 species